UUCAAAGAGCAUCCUAAGUUGGUGAAAAAUGAGUUUUGACAUUACUGGAGAAUCUUAUGCUGGGAACUAAAUCCCUACAUUGGCUUCCCGGGUUCACAAAGGAAACAAAAACAAAGAAGGAAUUCAUAUAAACCUCAAGGGUUUUUCCAUUGGCAAUGGUCUCACUCUGCCUGAUAUUCAGUUCAAAGCAUACACUGAUUUUGCUUUGGAAAACAAGUUAAUCCAAGAAUCUGACUAUGAUUCCAUUAACGAGUUGAUCCCAGUCUGUGAACAGGCAAUUAAAGAUUGCGGUACUUGUUCUUAGUUUGGAAUUCCUGCUCUCCUUGAAGUUGGUAUCAGUUUGCUUAAUUAUGCUGGAGAGGAGGAUCUCACAUGCAACUGCCUUGGAAAUUCAAGGUGGGUAAAUGCAUUGGCAUGGUCUAGGAAGAAGAAAGCCUUCGGAGAAGCUCCCACAGUUCCAUUCGUUGAUGAAGGAAAAAUGCAGGACAGCUAAAAAGUCUUGGUUUCCUAAAGGUUCACAAUGCUAGUCACUUUGUUCCAAUGUAUCAGCCAAAAGCUGCAUUAACAAUGCUGAAGACCUGGUUGCAAGGAAAUCUGUCUCUCCGUGGUAACUUGCGUCUGCUGUUUUAGCAUGUUCAAGCAUUGUCUCACAUCUAUGGUUGUCCGAAAUGGCGUUUUGUGAACUUCUGGUAUGAUGGAUUCUUCUAAUCUAAAUAUUCAUGCUAUCAGGUCUUAGGAGCUACAAAAUAAAAGGCACCUACAUUU